rnacentral:rRNA from 1 species
UACAGAGGUCCCAAGCGUUGUCCGGAUUUAUUGGGCGUAAAGCGCGUGUAGGCGGCCAUACAGGUCCGUUGUGAAAACUCGAGGCUUAACCUCGAGACGUCGAUGGAAACCGUAUGGCUAGAGUCCGGAAGAGGAGAGUGGAAUUCCUGGUGUAGCGGUGAAAUGCGCAGAUAUCAGGAAGAACACCAAUGGCGAAGGCAGCUCUCUGGGACGGUACUGACGCUGAGACGCGAAAGCGUGGGGAGCGAACAGG